rnacentral:rRNA from 1 species
UGCUGCAUGGCUGUCGUCAGCUCGUGUCGUGAGAUGUUGGUUAAGUCCGCAACGAGCGCAACCCUCGCCUUUAGUUGCCAGCAUUCAGUUGGGCACUCUAAAGGGACUGCCGGUGUCAAACCGGAGGAAGGUGGGGAUGACGUCAAGUCCUCAUGGCCUUUAUGUCUAGGGCUACACACGUACUACAAUGGCAGGUACAAAGGGCAGCGACACAGCGAUGUGAUGCGAAUCCCGAAAAGCCUGUCUCAGUCCGGAUCGGAGUCUGCAACUCGACUCCGCGAAGUUGGAAUCGCUAGUAAUCGUGGAUCAGAAUGUCACGGUGAAUACGUUCCCGGGUCUU